AUUGAACGCUGGCUGCAGGCCUAACACAUGCAAGUCGAACGGUAACAGGGAGCUUGCUCCGCUGACGAGUGGCGAACGGGUGAGUAAUGCGUCGGAACGUGCCGAGUAGUGGGGGAUAACGCAGCGAAAGUUGUGCUAAUACCGCAUACGUACUGAGGUAGAAAGUGGGGGACCUUCGGGCCUCACGCUAUUCGAGCGGCCGACGUCUGAUUAGCUAGUAGGUGAGGUAAAGGCGCACCUAGGCGACGAUCAGUAGCGUGUCUGAGAGGAUGAUCCGUGACAGUGGGGCGGAGAGACUGCCCAGACUACUACGGGAGGCAGCAGUGGGGAAUUUUGGACAAUGGGCGAAAGCCUGAUCCAGCCAUGCCGCGUGUCUGAAGAAGGCCUUCGGGUUGUAAAGGACUUUUGUCGGGGAGGAAAUCCCCAGCGCUAAUACCGCUGGGGGAUGACAGUACCUGAAGAAUAAGCACCGGCUAACUACGUGCCAGCAGCCGCAGUAAGAC
rnacentral:rRNA from 1 species